AGUUAAUGAACUUGUAAAGUAUUUACUUUGAAAGUAAGAAAAAAGGAUAAAGUCCCUUAUUAACUU
rnacentral:tRNA from 1 species